rnacentral:misc_RNA from 1 species
AGAGGUGUUUUGUGCAUAAAACUAGUAAGGAGAAGUAUGAGAAUAUGGCGGGGCGAGUUGUUUUGAGAGAGAUAUUUGGGGUUGGGUUUGAUGGGCAUUUCCCUGCUGCCAAGAAAGCAGCUGAAGAGGUUGGUUCGGCUUUCUUGUUGCUUGAGUCACCGUUUGUUCAAUGCAGUUUGUCUGGUGAGCCUUCUGAUGUGGGGGAUGAGGGGUUCGAGAAUAAGUUUGGAGUGUUUGGUUUGG